rnacentral:rRNA from 1 species
AUUGAACGCUGGCGGCAGGCCUAACACAUGCAAGUCGAGCGGAUGCAGGGAGCUUGCUCCUGGAUUCAGCGGCGGACGGGUGAGUAAUGCCUAGGAAUCUGCCUGGUAGUGGGGGAUAACGUCCGGACACGGGCGCUAAUACCGCAUACGUCCUGAGGGCGUAAGUGGGGGAUCUUCGGACCUCACGCUCUCAGAUGAGCCUAGGUCGGAUUAGCUAGUUGGUGGGGUAAAGGCCUACCAAGGCGACGAUCCGUAACUGGUCUGAGAGGAUGAUCAGUCACACUGGAACUGAGACACGGUCCAGACUCCUACGGGAGGCAGCAGUGGGGAAUAUUGGACAAUGGGCGAAAGCCUGAUCCAGCCAUGCCGCGUGUGUGAAGAAGGUCUUCGGAUUGUAAAGCACUUUAAGUUGGGAGGAAGGGCAGUAAGUUAAUACCUUGCUGUUUUGACGUUACCAACAGAAUAAGCACCGGCUAACUUCGUG